AAAAAGGAAUUAGUAUCAUCUAACUAAUCAUAUGAUACUCUUCGAAUUCUAUUCAUCUACUGAUAUUUCAUCAUAUCCCAAUGCUCAUUAAACAAAGUAGUACACAGACUUGCUAAAUUAAAUGAGAGCUGAGGUUAUAUAAGCAGUGUCAUGAUUCAUCUUCAUCAGCCUCUGCAGCAGAUAUUUCAGAGUCCAAUUUAUUAAUCAGCUGCUCACUUAUAUAUUGUGCAACAGAUAUCAUGUCAGAAAUCACACUUGGAUCAAUGCCUGCACCUCCUCGUUUUGUCAACCCACAAAUAUGCCCUUUCCUAUUUAUGGAAACAGAAAUUGCAGAGCUCAUCUGGGAUUCCUCUUCUGAAGUAGCAUCUACAAUAUAGUGUCUCCCCACCUUUGUUAAGGUAACUUAUAACAGGAACCUCCGAUGUGUCAAAUUGAAGAAAUUCUUCAUCACUUAUGUCAACCUCUGGUUGCUCAUCACCUGAUGCAGCAGCUGUAACAUGGACUCUUGGGAUCCCUGUAUUGCUCAAAGCAGCCUUAAUUGCAGCACCAAGAGCAUCUAAAAGAUUUCCAUCUGAACUGACAACAAGGCCAUCAAUAUAAAGAUCCCAACAAAUUUUUCCUUCUGCAACUACUAGAGAUGAUAGAUCAAUCCCAGCACCUGCCCCACUUUUACCACCUAGGAGACAACGCUGAAGAGCAACUGAAAGUUCUGUUGACAGGUCCUCGCCGCCUCUGCCCUCAAAUGUUGGUUCUGCAACUGGGCUACAAUCGACAAAUAUAGCAACCUUUCCCUUAUCAGGCUGCAAUGCACUUGGCCUUCCAAGCUCAGCCUUCACACUAGCAAUAACCUCUGUUGCACCCAUCCUGAUUCGUGCCGAGCCAUUUGCCUGAGGGAUGACUCCAGUUUCAACAAAAAUGGGUCGAUAGGUAUCUCGUUUUCGACCAUCAGAGCGGAGAUUUUGAUUAAUGCCACCCUGUAUGAAAUGCUUUUCUCCAACUGAGAGUCCUACCAUUCCUAACA
rnacentral:misc_RNA from 1 species